GAUGAACGCUGGCGGCGUGCCUAAUACAUGCCAGUCGAACGGACAGACGAGGAUCUUGCUCCUCUGACGUUAGCGGCGGACGGGUGAGUAACGCGUGGAUCACCUACCUAUAAGACUGGGAUAACUUCGAGACACCGGCGCUAAUACCGGAUAAUAUAUUGAACCACAUUGUGCAAUGGUAAGAGACGGUUUUGCUGUCUCUUCUCGCGGCAUAUGCGCCGCUUUAGCUGGUUGUUAAGGUAACGGCUUACCAAGGCAACCAUGCGUAGACGACCGAAGAGGGGGAUAGGCCACACUGGAGCUGAGACACGGUCCAUACUCCUACGGGAGGCAGCAGUAGGGAAUCUUCCGCAAUGGGCGGAAGCCUGACGGAGCAACGCCGCGUGAGUGAUGAAGGUCUUGGGAGCGUAAAACUCUGUUAUUAGGGAAGAACAAAUGUGUAAGGAACUAUGCAGGGCGUGACGGUACCUAAUCAGAAAGCAACGGCUAACUACGUG
rnacentral:rRNA from 1 species